rnacentral:misc_RNA from 1 species
CAGAUUUGAUGAAAAAGAAAAUGUGUCCAACUGCAUCCAGUUGAAAACUUCAGUUAUUAAGGGUAUUAAGAAUCAAUUGAUAGAGCAAUUUCCAGGUAUUGAACCAUGGCUUAAUCAAAUCAUGCCUAAGAAAGAUCCUGUCAAAAUAGUCCGAUGCCAUGAACAUAUAGAAAUCCUUACAGUAAAUGGAGAAUUACUCUUUUUUAGACAAAGAGAAGGGCCUUUUUAUCCAACCCUAAGAUUACUUCACAAAUAUCCUUUUAUCCUGCCACACCAGCAGGUUGAUAAAGGAGCCAUCAAAUUUGUACUCAGUGGAGCAAAUAUCAUGUGUCCAGGCUUAACUUCUCCUGGAGCUAAGCUUUACCCUGCUGCAGUAGAUACCAUUGUUGUAUCCUUCCCAGGCUAAAACUGCUGAAAAAUGUAUUCAUUGUGCUCUUAUCAUUACUGCGAAAGGUGUACCAUCCAAGAGAACAUUAGAUGUACUUUUUUGAAGGCUAUCAUGGCAGAAGGAAAACAGCAUGCUCUAUGUGUUGGAGUCAUGAAGAUGUCUGCAGAAGACAUUGAGAAAGUCAACAAAGGAAUUGGCAUUGAAAAUAUCCAUUAUUUAAAUGAUGGGCUGUGGCAUAUGAAGACAUAUAAAUGAGCCUCAGAAGGAAUGCACUUGGGCUAAAUAUGGAUAUUGUGCUGUAUCUGUGUUUGUGUCUGUGUGUGACAGCAUGAAGAUAAUGCCUGUGGUUAUGCUGAAUAAAUUCACCAGAUGCUAAAA